rnacentral:rRNA from 1 species
ACACAGGGAGGUAGUGACAAGAAAUAACAAUACAGGGCUAAUGUCUUGUAAUUGGAAUGAUGGUGACCCAAACCCUCACCAGAGUAGCAAUUGGAGGGCAAGUCUGGUGCCAGCAGCCGCGGUAAUUCCAGCUCCAAUAGCGUAUAUUAAACUUGUUGCAGUUAAAAAGCUCGUAGUUGAACUUUAGCGUGUUCGAGUUUGCCAUUCGUUUGGCCUUUUCGAGUUCGCUUUUGGGUUUUCCCUUUUUACUUUGAGAAAAUUAGAGUGUUUCAAGCAGACUUUUGUCUUGAAUACUUCAGCAUGGAAUAAUAGAGUAGGACUUUG